GAAUGCUGACAUAAGUAACGAUAAAGCGGGUGAAAAGCCCGCUCGCCGGAAGACCAAGGGUUCCUGUCCAACGUUAAUCGGGGCAGGGUGAGUCGACCCCUAAGGCGAGGCCGAAAGGCGUAGUCGAUGGGAAACGGGUUAAUAUUCCCGUACUUGGUGUUACUGCGAAGGGGGGACGGAGAAGGCUAUGUUGGCCGGGCGACGGUUGUCCCGGUUUAAGCGUGUAGGUGUGUGUUCCAGGUAAAUCCGGUUCACUUUAACACUGAGGCGUGACGACGAGGCACUACGGUGCUGAAGCAACAAAUGCCCUGCUUCCAGGAAAAGCCUCUAAGCAUCAGGUAACAUCAAAUCGUACCCCAAACCGACACAGGUGGUCAGGUAGAGAAUACCAAGGCGCUUGAGAGAACUCGGGUGAAGGAACUAGGCAAAAUGGUGCCGUAACUUCGGGAGAAGGCACGCUGACACGUAGGUGAAGUGAUUUACUCAUGGAGCUGAAGUCAGUCGAAGAUACCAGCUGGCUGCAACUGUUUAUUAAAAACACAGCACUGUGCAAACACGAAAGUGGACGUAUACGGUGUGACGCCUGCCCGGUGCCGGAAGGUUAAUUGAUGGGGUCAGCGCAAGCGAAGCUCCUGAUCGAAGCCCCGGUAAACGGCGGCCGUAACUAUAACGGUCCUAAGGUAGCGAAAUUCCUUGUCGGGUAAGUUCCGACCUGCACGAAUGGCGUAAUGAUGGCCAGGCUGUCUCCACCCGAGACUCAGUGAAAUUGAACUCGCUGUGAAGAUGCAGUGUACCCGCGGCAAGACGGAAAGACCCCGUGAACCUUUACUAUAGCUUGACACUGAACAUUGAGCCUUGAUGUGUAGGAUAGGUGGGAGGCUUUGAAGUGUGGACGCCAGUCUGCAUGGAGCCGACCUUGAAAUACCACCCUUUAAUGUUUGAUGUUCUAACGUGGACCCGUUACCCGGGUUGCGGACAGUGUCUGGUGGGUAGUUUGACUGGGGCGGUCUCCUCCUAAAGAGUAACGGAGGAGCACGAAGGUUGGCUAAUCCUGGUCGGACAUCAGGAGGUUAGUGCAAUGGCAUAAGCCAGCUUGACUGCGAGCGUGACGGCGCGAGCAGGUGCGAAAGCAGGUCAUAGUGAUCCGGUGGUUCUGAAUGGAAGGGCCAUCGCUCAACGGAUAAAAGGUACUCCGGGGAUAACAGGCUGAUACCGCCCAAGAGUUCAUAUCGACGGCGGUGUUUGGCACCUCGAUGUCGGCUCAUCACAUCCUGGGGCUGAAGUAGGUCCCAAGGGUAUGGCUGUUCGCCAUUUAAAGUGGUACGCGAGCUGGGUUUAGAACGUCGUGAGACAGUUCGGUCCCUAUCUGCCGUGGGCGCUGGAGAACUGAGGGGGGCUGCUCCUAGUACGAGAGGACCGGAGUGGACGCAUCACUGGUGUUCGGGUUGUCAUGCCAAUGGCACUGCCCGGUAGCUAAAUGCGGAAGAGAUAAGUGCUGAAAGCAUCUAAGCACGAAACUUGCCCCGAGAUGAGUUCUCCCUGAGACUUAAAGUCUCCUGAAGGAACGUUGAAGACGACGACGUUGAUAGGCCGGGUGUGUAAGCGCAGCGAUGCGUUGAGCUAACCGGUACUAAUGAACCGUG
rnacentral:rRNA from 2 species